rnacentral:rRNA from 1 species
GUGCCAGCAGCCGCGGUAAUACGUAGGGUACGAGCGUUGUUCGGAUUUAUUGGGCGUAAAGGGUUCGUAGGGGGUUUGUUAAGUCUGAUGUGAAAUCCCGUGGCUCAACCACGGAACUGCAUUGGAAACUGGCAGACUAGAGGACCGGAGAGGAGAGUGGAAUUUCAGGAGUAGCGGUGGAAUGCGUAGAUAUCUGAAAGAACACCGAAAGCGAAGGCAGCUCUCUGGACGGUUCCUGACCCUGAGGGACGAAAGCGUGGGUAGCAAACAGGCUUAGAUACCCUGGUAGUCCACGCCGUAAACGUUGUGUGCUUGGUAUGGGCGGAUUCAACCCCGUCCGUGUCGUAGCUAACGUGUUAAGCACACCGCUGGGGACUACGGCCGCAAGGCUAAAACUCAAAGGAAUUGACGGGGGCCCGACAAGCGGUGGAACACGUGGUUUAAUUCGAUGCUACGCGAAGAAACCUUACCAGGGUUGACAUGCUGGAAGUAAUCGCCUGAAA